GCUUGUUUCCAGUUUUUGCUUUUGACUUUGCUACAAAUCCACUUCAAUUCAUCCUCCCAGCAUCCAAUGUUUCUUGUAUGGCCCAACCAUAUACAAACUCUUCUCCAUACUCUACUAGUAAUGGCACAUUCAAAGUAUAGAUAACUGAAAUCUUCAGCAAAGUAUUGGCAAAAUACACAGGCAGUUGGAACUUGAAUUCUCAUAUACUGAAGCCUCUCUAUAGUAGGAAGCUUCUGAUGAGCUGCCAACCAAGUUAUGAAUUUAUGUUUAGGAAGAGCAGCAGGGACAAGCAUUAUAUUCUUCCAUGUUACCUUAGGGAGCUGAGGC
rnacentral:lncRNA from 1 species